rnacentral:rRNA from 1 species
GACGAACGCUGGCGGCGUGCUUAACACAUGCAAGUCGAACGGUAAGGCCCUUCGGGGUACACGAGUGGCGAACGGGUGAGUAACACGUGGGUGAUCUGCCCUGCACUUCGGGAUAAGCCUGGGAAACUGGGUCUAAUACCGGAUAGGACCCUGGGAUGCAUGUCCUGGGGUGGAAAGCUUUUGCGGUGUGGGAUGGGCCCGCGGCCUAUCAGCUUGUUGGUGGGGUGAUGGCCUACCAAGGCGACGACGGGUAGCCGGCAUGGGAGGGUGACCGCACACACUGGGACUUAGAUACGGCCUAGACUCCUCCGGGAGGCAGCAGUGGGGAAUAUUGCGCAAUGGGCGCAAGCCUGAUGCAGCGACGCCGCGUGAGGGAUGACGGCCUUCGGGUUGUAAACCUCUUUCAGCACCGACGAAGCGCAAGUGACGGUAGGUGCAGAAGAAGGACCAGCCAACUACGUGCCAGCCGCCGCCGUAA